GUCCCUUUGGGAACAUCCGAUAACAUUGGAACGAUACAGAGAAGAUUAGCAUGGCCCCUCGCAAGGAUGACACCCACAAAUCGAGAAAAAAUAAAUUGAUUU
rnacentral:snRNA from 1 species